rnacentral:rRNA from 1 species
UACGAAGGGUGCAAGCGUUAAUCGGAAUUACUGGGCGUAAAGGGUGCGUAGGCGGUUCGGUAAGUCUGUCGUGAAAUCCCCGGGCUCAACCUGGGAAUGGCGAUGGAUACUGGGCAGCUAGAGUGUGUCAGAGGAUGGUGGAAUUCCCGGUGUAGCGGUGAAAUGCGUAGAGAUCGGGAGGAACAUCAGUGGCGAAGGCGGCCAUCUGGGACAACACUGACGCUGAAGCACGAAAGCGUGGGGAGCAAACAGG